GUCUACUACCACACUAUCAUGAACACGCCCAAUCUCGUCUGAUCUCAGAAGCUAAGCAGGGUCAGGCCUGGUUAGUACUUGGAUGGGAGAAUGAAUUAAUUGUAGAGGGUC
rnacentral:rRNA from 1 species